rnacentral:rRNA from 1 species
AUUGAACGCUGGCGGCAUGCCUUACACAUGCAAGUCGAACGGCAGCACGGACUUCGGUCUGGUGGCGAGUGGCGAACGGGUGAGUAAUAUAUCGGAACAUGCCCUAGAGUGGGGGAUAACGUAGCGAAAGUUACGCUAAUACCGCAUACGAACUAAGGUUGAAAGUGGGGGAUCGCAAGACCUCAUGCUCAUGGAGUGGCCGAUAUCUGAUUAGCUAGUUGGUGAGGUAAAGGCUCACCAAGGCGACGAUCAGUAGCUGGUUUGAGAGAACGACCAGCCACACUGGAACUGAGACACGGUCCAGACUCCUACGGGAGGCAGCAGUGGGGAAUUUUGGACAAUGGGCGCAAGCCUGAUCCAGCAAUGCCGCGUGAGUGAAGAAGGCC